AACGACUCUCGGCAACGGAUAUCUUGGCUCUCGCAUCGAUGAAGAACGUAGCGAAAUGCGAUACUUGGUGUGAAUUGCAGAAUCCCGUGAACCAUCGAGUUUUUGAACGCAAGUUGCGCCCGAAGCCUUUGGCCAGGGCACGUCUGCCUGGGCGUCACGCA
rnacentral:rRNA from 25 species